rnacentral:rRNA from 1 species
UACGGAGGGUGCAAGCGUUAUUCGGAAUUACUGGGUUUAAAGGGUGCGUAGGCGGUUAAAUAAGUUGUCAGUGAAAGGCUACGGCUCAACUGUAGUAGUGCUGGCGAUACUGUAUAACUAAGGACAUGGGAGGGGUACCUGGAAUGUGUGGUGUAGCGGUGAAAUGCGUAGAUAUCACACAGAACACCGGAGGCAAAGGCGGGGUACUAGACCAUAGUUGACGCUGAGGCACGAAAGCGUGGGGAUCAAACAGGAUUAGAUAC